CCAGACUCCUACGGGAGGCAGCAGUGGGGAAUAUUGCACAAUGGGGGAAACCCUGAUGCAGCAACGCCGCGUGAGUGAAGAAGUAUUUCGGUAUGUAAAGCUCUAUCAGCAGGGAAGAAAAUGACGGUACCUGAGUAAGAAGCCCCGGCUAACUACGUGCCAGCAGCCGCGGUAAUACGUAGGGGGCAAGCGUUAUCCGGAUUUACUGGGUGUAAAGGGAGCGUAGACGGCGAUGCAAGUCUGAAGUGAAAGGCGGGGGCCCAACCCCCGGACUGCUUUGGAAACUGUAUUUCUUGAGUGCUGGAGAGGCAAUCGGAAUUUCGUGUGUAGCGGUGAAAUGCGUAGAUAUACGGAGGAACACCAGUGGCGAAGGCGGAUUGCUGGACAGUAACUGACGCUGAGGCGCGAAAGCGUGGGGAGCAAACAGGAUUAGAUACCCCCGUAC
rnacentral:rRNA from 1 species